GAAGGGCUGUAGCUCAGUGGCAGAGCACAUGCUCUGCAUGCAAAUGGCCGCAGGUUCAAUCCUUCACAUCUUCA